AUGGAUUAUUUAAGUGAUUUUCUUUCUGGGAAGAAGCUUCACUUGCCAAAUUUCCGUGACUCUUUGAAGGAGCGUGGAAUGGUACAGAUGUUGACUAUUGGGAGGGAGGCAGCACUUGAAGUUCAGUCACUUGUAAGAGUGCUAGAAUCAUGUGCUGGCUGCAAACAGAGCUACUCACUGAUCAUGUUCCAGGAUUUGUUGGUGUCCACAACUCUUUCUCCUGAUGACCUGAUUAACCUAUUCACGUACACUGUCAUGAGGUUGACCCCAAAUGCUCUGUCUGCUGGAGCUAGCUCCUGGUCCUAUUUACGCAAAGGAAGUAGUACUUCUAAUGCUUCCGCGUCUUUAUCGACAAGCUCUAACUCUGUUCUGAACCGGUACAACAACUCACAGGAUACUUCUCCAGUUGGAGUUCGUAGCUAUCAGGUUGUUAGGCCCUUACAGCAUGAGAAAUGGUCCAAAGGGAAGGAUGCUUUCCUUGUUACUGAUAUUUGGGGCACAGAAGUUGGCAGCUCGAGUCCUAGCAGUCCAACAAUUUGGCUCAAGCAAACAGAGGAGAGGAUGUAUCUUUGUGCUUUUCAGCAUAAGAGCCUCACCAUAAUACUUCUCAUUCCUGUCACAUCUGUACACAAUGGGGAGCAAGGGUUGUCAGUGGUGAAGCAGCAAAUUCUGGAGAAUGCCUCACCGAAGAUAUUCAAAGUUGAAGAGAAACUAUCCCGAGGAUGGGGUGGCGAGAACGCAUAUCAUGUGAGUGGUUACCGCUAUUUACUUGUGGAUGGUGAUAAAUACAUCUCUCGGGCUUCCCCGCCUGGAAAAGUAACAACGCUUACGAAGGAUUCUUUAGUUUCAAUGAGUAAGCUUCGAGAAGAGGUUGACUUAGAAAAGAGCAGAGCUAAAUGUGAUGUCUCUGGCUGCGAGAAAGACCAAGAAAUAUGCAUUAGAGCAAAAAAUGGUGCUUGGGUGAUUUCUCGGCUGACGCGAGGGAAGGAACUUUAUAUGGUACUUGAGAAAGCCAAUGAAACCCUUCUUUACGCUUCUGAGGCUGUUGAAAAGUUCAGUGACAGGUAUUGCAGUGGCGUUUUUUCUUUGUAAUAGAACUGGGUAGCCAAUUCUUUGUUUUGCAGAGAGACAGAAAGCUAUAGCUAUCAUUUUGUUGUUAGUCCAAAUGUGUGUACUGUUUUGUAAGUAAAUAAACUUCACUUGUAUAAUGAUGCAUUUUUUUGCCCUGUAAUUUAAAG
rnacentral:misc_RNA from 1 species